AGAGCACCCAGCAUAACUGUGGGAGAAUAGUAAGCAUUGGACACAAAAUGGAAAAGCUGACCUUCUGGUACGGAAGAGCAUGAGCAGUGAGUGAGCAGUGCCCAUGCGUUGUGAGGCGGCCUCCAUGGUAUAAGGUUUAGGCAAAUAAUGAUGAACAAAAAUGGUCAGUCUGUGUUCCUGCUGACCCAGCACAGUGGGGACGCUGUGUAGGACAUGACCUUUGGGGGAAAGGACACAAGAACUCAGCGUGGGGGAUCCAGAAAAGAAGUCGCACGUAUUGAAGCCAGUAACGCCAAGCCAGUGAAUUCUCCUUGACGAGAAAGACCCACUUACUCUGCAGAAGAGAUAUAUGACAGCUGACAAUCCCUGGAGGAGAAUCUUUCUACUAAAUUGACACAGUGAAACUCAGUUUCUGCAGAAUUUGAUUUCAUUUGAGUUACUGGGGAACAAAGCAAUUAGACAAUGAAUAAUAGCUCAAGACAGGCUGAAGCUGAAGAUUUCUGCAAAAGAAUGAAGAGGAAACGUUUUGAUCCUGAGCAGAUGUUCUCCCUAGAUUGCUUCACCUGAGGUUGAUUGACUUUUGGAAACGAGAUUUGUUCCCAGUGCUUUGUGAGUCUCUUGUUGGAAGGACUGUCUUUAAAUUAAAGCAAUUAGAGUUACUUUAUAAGAUUUACCCAAAUAUAAGAGCUGAAGAGAAUAAUUCAAAUUGAUCAGAAGAAAAUACUCAAUUACUGACAAAUGUCAAUUACAUCAAUAGGAGGAGAAAAUGUGUAAUUGUAAGCAGCUGAACUAAAAUAUCUCUGUGACAUUUUGCUGGUGACUCCAGCCCUGUGAGAUCUGAGUGGCUCAGGAAUCAAAUUCUCCCACAAACCUGAGGAAGCCUUUUAUUCUUAAUGCCAACAGGAUGCCCCAUGCCCAGAAUGUCAAAUCUGAACACCAAUGGAAUGCAUUUUAUAAACAAAUUGAAAAAGGACAAUCUUUAACAGAAUUGUUGUUCUCUAGGCAGAUUAGUUGUGCUUCAAAUACAAAAUGAAAUAUUAGAGAACAAAAUUAUUUUUAAACAGCUAAUACUAGUAGAAAAUAAAAGGCUGAAAAGUGCUAUAA
rnacentral:lncRNA from 1 species